rnacentral:lncRNA from 1 species
CUGGGCUACACUGUACAUAACACCUGCAGCCUCGGGGAGGGGAGAAGCUCAUCUCUUUCUCCAGGAUCCCGAGGGAGGCAGACAAGCUGCUCCUCUUGUCACUUCUCUAAGUGUUUCAAGGUAUAAAUCAACUAGUAUGUUGUGAUCAUAAACUUUUUUAAAAAAAGACUAUAAUUGCAUAAGACAGGAUAGAAUUGAAAAUAUGAAUGUGCGUUAUAUGUAAUGAGGUAGGGAUCAUUUUGUGAAAAUGGUUUUGUGGGUAUAUUUGGACUGGGUUGUUGUGUAAAUGGUACAUGUUACUAUGAGUUGUAGUAAAAUAUGUUGAAAAACUUGACUUCCCCUACUCAUCAGGAUGAAAUUGAAACUCUUCUAUAAUGGAGUGAAUUCAACAAGUGGAGUGCAUCUAUUCAAGGCAGGAGACAGAAUGGGGCACUUUAUGCUCAAAGGAACAAAUCCAUUAGUCUUUCCUUGGGGGAUUAUAGCCCAAGAGCUUUCUUUGGAAAUAAUAAAUAUCUGCAGUAGUACCCGCCCUAGGUUACGAAAUAAAACUGUGAAAUUGCACUUGAGGAACUGGCUACCAUUAUGCUUCCACACCAUUGCCAAAGCAGGAAACCUAGGGACCAGGUGAAGAGUUUGAUUCUCCAUCUUUUCUGUGUCUGUGGUCCUUGUGGUUAAU